rnacentral:rRNA from 1 species
GUCAGAGUUUGAUCCUGGCUCAGAGCGAACGCUGGCGGCAGGCCUAACACAUGCAAGUCGAACGGACCCUUCGGGGGUUAGUGGCGGACGGGUGAGUAACACGUGGGAACGUGCCUUUUUGGUUCGGAAUAGCUCCUGGAAACGGGUGGUAAUGCCGAAUGUGCCCUUUGGGGGAAAGAUUUAUCGCCAUUAGAGCGGCCCGCGUCUGAUUAGCUAGUUGGUGAGGUAAAGGCUCACCGAAGGCGACGAUCAGUAGCUGGUCUGAGAGGAUGACCA